rnacentral:rRNA from 1 species
AGGAGGAUGAAGUCCGCAGCGCACGAGUGGUUCACAGAUUUGAAGAGCUUGCUCAGAUAUUAGCAGGGGCAUUGCAAAGAGUGGCGAACGGGUGAGUAACACGUGGGAAACCUACCUCUUAGCAGGGGAUAACAUUUGGAAACAGAUGCUAAUACCGUAUAACAAUGACAACCGCAUGGUUGUUAUUUAAAAGAUGGUUCUGCUAUCACUAAGAGAUGGUCCCGCGGUGCAUUAGCUAGUUGGUAAGGUAAUGGCUUACCAAGGCGAUGAUGCAUAGCCGAGUUGAGAGACUGAUCGGCCACAAUGGGACUGAGACACGGCCCAUACUCCUACGGGAGGCAGCAGUAGGGAAUCUUCCACAAUGGGCGAAAGCCUGAUGGAGCAACGCCGCGUGUGUGAUGAAGGGUUUCGGCUCGUAAAACACUGUUGUAAGAGAAGAAUGACAUUGAGAGUAACUGUUCAAUGUGUGACGGUAUCUUACCAGAAAGGAACGGCUAAAUACGUGCCAGCCAGCCGCGGUAAUACGUAUCUUCCAAGCGUUAUCCGGAUUUAUUGGGCGUAAAGCGAGCGCAGACUGGUUAUUUAAGUCUGAAGUGAAAGCCCUCAGCUCAACUGAGGAAUUGCUUUGGAAACUGGAUGACUUGAGUGCAGUAGAGGAAAGUGGAACUCCAUGUGUAGCGGUGAAAUGCGUAGAUAUAUGGAAGAACACCAGUGGCGAAGGCGGCUUUCUGGACUGUAACUGACGUUGAGGCUCGAAAGUGUGGGUAGCAAACAGGAUUAGAUACCCUGGUAGUCCACACCGUAAACGAUGAGUGCUAGGUGUUUGAGGGUUUCCGCCCUUAAGUGCCGCAGCUAACGCAUUAAGCACUCCGCCUGGGGAGUACGACCGCAAGGUUGAAACUCAAAGGAAUUGACGGGGACCCGCACAAGCGGUGGAGCAUGUGGUUUAAUGCGAAGCAACGCGAAGAACCUUACAAGGUCUUGACAUCCCUUGACAACUCCAGAGAUGGAGCGUUCCCUUCGGGGACAAGGUGACAGGUGGUGCAUGGUUGUCGUCAGCUCGUGUCGUGAGAUGUUGGGUUAAGUCCCGCAACGAGCGCAACCCUUAUUACUAGUUGCCAGCAUUCAGUUGGGCACUCUAGUGAGACUGCCGGUGACAAACCGGAGGAAGGUGGGGAUGACGUCAAAUCAUCAUGCCCCUUAUGACCUGGGCUACACACGUGCUACAAUGGCGUAUACAACGAGUUGCCAACCCGCGAGGGUGAGCUAAUCUCUUAAAGUACGUCUCAGUUCGGAUUGUAGGCUGCAACUCGCCUACAUGAAGUCGGAAUCGCUGUAAUCGCGGAUCAGCACGCCGCGGUGAAUACGUUCCCGGGUCUUGUACACACCUCCCUUCACACCAUGAGAGUUUGUUACACCCAAAGCUAGGUGGGGUAACUCUUUCGGGGACCCCCCAACCC